UUUCGCAAUGCCCGAAAGGGUGACGAAGCGACGCCGCGUGAGUGAGGAAGGCCUUCGGGUUGUAAAGCUCUGUCAGGAGUUAAGAAAUAUAAGUGUGCUAAUACCACAUUUAUUUGACAAAAGCUCCAAAGGAAGCCACGGCUAACUCUGUGCCAGCAGCCGCGGUAAUACAGAGGUGGCGAGCGUUGUUCGGAAUUAUUGGGCGUAAAGAGCACGUAGGUGGGUUUGUAAGUCAGAUGUGAAAGCCUUCUGUUCAACGGUAGAAUUGCAUCUGAAACUGCGAGUCUUGAGUGUAGGAGGGGAGAAUGGAACUUCUGGUGGAGCGGUGAAAUGCGUAGAUAUCAGAAGGAACGCCGGCGGCGAAAGCGAUUCUCUGGCCUAUUACUGACACUCAGUGUGCGAAAGCUAGGGGAGCAAACGGGAUUAGAUACCCCGGUAGUCCUAGCUGUAAACGAUGGGCACUAAGUAGAGGGGUUUUA
rnacentral:rRNA from 1 species